AACCAUUCAGACUGCUAAUAUGUGCGUUACAUUUCUUGAAAUUAACACUAUUUAUGACUUGGACUGUUCCUGACUUACCAGCACCUUCCUUAGUUUGAGUAUGCUUACAUUCUAAUAAGUUUUCAAAUAAUCAUUAUGAUAACUUCAAUGUAGUAACCAAUUACGUUGUUGUACAGACAUGAUUUAAUCAUAAACCACGAGAAGAAAUUACCUGGGAUAAUACGAAGCACAACCCAAUUCCAUUUGCUUAACGAAACUUAUAAUUUGAGCUUCGCAAUUUGUCGAACGAAAUUGGACUGACUCCAAAUCCUUUUAAAACCUUCUGCAACACUACAUAAAAAGUUUCAUCAAAGGAGAUUCGUGCUUCCAUUGUAACCUGGAUUUUAAAGCUUGUUAGUCUUCUGGAUCUGCUAAGUAGGAAGUGGGAACAUCUUUGGUCGUACAUCACACAUAUGUUAUCCGAUUCAAUCGUGUCAUCCCAAUAAUCCAUGACAAAGCAGAAAAUGAAGCCAACCAGGGAGGAACUCAUACUAGAAGGGACAUCAAUUAUUAUAUAAUCUUCUGUUGUCUUAUACUCCAACCACUCUGGAAAAUUGCUUCCUGGAUACGCGUACACAGCCUGAUAAGAAUGAUAAUUAUAUUCAUAAUCACUGUAAUCUUCAACAUGACUGUGAUCCGGUGCAGAUAUAUGGUUUGCAACAAAUUUCAUCAUGUUGAUUUUCAUAUUCAACCGUAUAGCUACCAGAGAAUGUUUAUCCAAGUUUGAGCAAUUCCAGAAAAGCAGCUUUUUCAUGUUUUCCUUUAGUUUUUCAUCUUUUGCUGUAGGAAACAAAACACCUUUCAAUGAUUUGCAGUAUGUAGCAUUUAGAGUUUCAAGGAAUGGGGGAAGUUGUGGUAGAUUCUGAAGUGAAGUGCAGUUUUUGGUGUGUAGAGUUUUAAGGCAUGUGGGAAGCUUUGGUAUAGUUCGAAGUAAAUGGCAACAUUGGACGUUUAAAGUUUGAAGACAUGGAGGAAGCUCUGGUAUUGUCCCAAGUGAAGAGCAUGAUUCAACAUUAAGGAUUUCAAUGGAUGUGGGAAGCUCUGGUAGAGUCUCAAGUGAAGUGCAGGCUUCAGUAUUUAGCGUUUUGAGUGAUGAGGGAAGCUUUGGUAUAGUUUGAAGUAAAGUGCAAUAUUGGAGAUUCAGAUUCUCAAGGAACGGUGGAAGCUCAGCUAUUGUUUGAAGCUUAUCACAAAAGCUUACAUCUAGAUGUAGAAGUUGAGUGAGAUUUUUCAGAGAAG
rnacentral:sRNA from 1 species